rnacentral:sRNA from 1 species
GUCAGGUGUGGUGGCUCACACCUGUAAUCCCAGUACUUUGGGAGGCUGAGGCAGGAGGAUUGCUCGAGCCUAGGAGUUCAAGAUUGGUCUAGGCAACAUGGCAAAAGCCCAUCUCUACAAAAAAUAAAAAAUUUGCUGGGCGUGGUGGCACAUGCCUGUAGUCCCAGCUACUUAGGAGGCUGAGGUGGGAGGAUCGAUUGAGCCAGGGAGUUUCAGGCUGCAGUGAGCCAUGAUCAUGUCUCUCUCUGCACUCCAGCCUGGGCAACAGAGCAAGACCCUGUCUCA